GUUGAUUAUAGCAUUGCUAAAAGAAAAGGAAUUUUUUAUCAAAUCCCAAAUUUUCAGACUGCCAUGCCUAGUUGCGUGGCCCGUCCGGGGCCCCCCCCCAAUCUCUUGAAUCAAGCAGAAUUUAAAGUAGUUAAAGAUGCUGUAGAAGAAAACUAUGAUUUCAAUUCAAACUGAUGAAUAGUGAUGGGAACUAACCUCUAUGACUAGAUCUACAUCUUUAAAGCUAUCAUAGCAGAGAACACCAUUGAGAAGAGAAAGUUCUCUUGUGUCAUUUUUCCUUUCUUGACGUGACUCAGUAAAUUAGAUGACGAGAAAGAUAACGGUUACAACAAUUAAAAUUUCAAAUUUUAAGUGAUCAUAUCAAGCAAAAGUGUCUGUUUGAUCACUUUUAACUCUGCCAAUUCCAAGCCAAAGAAGAUUCUCAUUUACUUCUUUUAAACUGCAUGGCACUUAGGAUCAACAGGGUUGCUAUUUCCAGAGCCCAUUAAUCCCCCUCCAACAAUAACUCAAUCUUCUUUACUUUCCUAGGUAUCAAGCCCAAUCAGUUAUCCAAAUAAUCAAUUAACAGCUUGCACUUUAUAAUACAGACAUGCAAAAUGCAAAGAUGGAAAGGAAGGGCAAGUCCUUGGAAGAAUAUGAAAUUUUACAAAGCUAUUGAAUAUUUACUAUAAAGAAGUACAGACAAAUGAGCAUUACAAGCAAAACAUAGUUUUAAAAAAUUUUCAUCGAAAGAGCCUGUCAUCUUGUAAUUGAAACAACGUUCAGAUCAGACUCAGAAUAGACCAAUAGCAUGACUUGCCGAUUGUCAGGAGGGCAAUGAUUGCAGCAGGACUAUUGGAACGGAGUUUUUGACCUAAAAGCACUCCUUACUUUUGAACUUAAUGUCAAGACUCUCUUUAAAAGAACUUUAAUCCGAAAAUAACAAGAUUACCUUGGAUUAGGGUUUUUAAUUUUUCUUUCAAUGCACUAAUAAAAAAAUAAUAUCUCUUUUAAAAAAAUGAUAACAAAAUUAAUUUUAAGUGUUAGAUUAGAAGCAUUUACAAAAUAAAAUCUUUAGAUAUUUUUUUAAAAAAAAAUUUGACACUAGAGUUUUAUUUUGGAAGUACAUUUUCAUAGACUAUAAAAAGCAAAAUAUUAGAUAAAUUCUUUUUUAAAAAUUACUGUUGAUGCAAAAUAAAAAUGGAGUAGUUUUACAAAUAAAUGUGUUUGACAAAAAAAAACAGACUACUUAUUUAUUUUCAAUGGAUCUAUUGAAAAAGAUUUGUGAGAGGCCCUAAAUCAAAGGGCAAAUUUGUCAAUUUUGCCACAAAAAUUAGCUCUGGGAGAAAUCUUGAUCUUAGUUUCAAAAGUCGUGAUGUUCUAUUUCUGAAACUACAAGACAGGCUUUAGUUGUCAAAAAUCUCAAGGGAGGUCAGUUUGAAGUUAUCCAAAAUAAAUGUAUCAUGAAUGGCAAGGGAAAAACUAAUAACAAUAACACAAUAACACAUUUAAGGAUGAUUGGAGUUGGGAGAGGAUACUUGAACAACACAAAAAGUAGUUUUCUUAUGAUAAUAUAAAAAAAAAUAAUAUGGAUCAGUAGUUACCACUUUAAAUGGACAAUAUAGAGGACAAGAAUAGAUUAAAUUAUUGACCUAAGAGAUUGAUCUAUACCGGAACAUCAAUCACUUGGGGACGCUUCAGUUACAUUUUUAAUUUGUUUUUUUUCAAUAUUGCCAACAUAGAACCCAACAAGGGCGGAAAACAUAGAAUCAAACACAUGCACACUGGAGGGAUAGAAUUGUAGUAUUAUGACCGCUUUGCUUGUAAUUUCUUUCAUUUAGUGGGAUCAGAGGUUGAAAUCUAUCUUUUGUCCAAUAAUUCUAGAUGGGUGCUUGAUGAUUAGAGAAACUCCACAAAUGUAUAAAUCAAUCAAUAAUGUGAAAUUGGGUAAAUGCAUGCCCAACUCUAUGACGCAAAUCCAUUCCAAGUUUCCUUCUCUUAUACCAACUUGAAAGUAAAGAGUUAAUGAAAUUGAUAUGCUCAGUUUUGACCAUCUGAAUUGCAAUAACAUGUCAAAGCCCAGAGGUCCCUCAAAUUGAGAACAUGGAAGCCUAAUAAUUUUAUUAAUAACUUAAGAGUAUCUCUUAAAUAUAACCACUUAGAUUUAGGAGGGUGAUUGCAGGAUCUAGAUUUCAAGGAUGAUGAUUGUGUAUACAUCAAUAAUGAAGUGAAGUAAAUUCUUAUUAUUUAAUAUGUAAUGGUUUUGAUAUCCAUUCACUCGUAGAAAAACUACACAUGCUAAUUAUUUUUUAACAUAUUUUUGGGUCAAUUAAUUGGAGUUAAUGUACGAAUAUUGU
rnacentral:lncRNA from 1 species